rnacentral:misc_RNA from 1 species
GUCAUACAGCCACCGUUGUAUAUUGUCUCCGUCUUCUGCUUCCAUAGACUCUCCCAUACACGUCGAUAGACAUACAGGCACAGCUGCCUUGCCGUCGCGCUUCGCACACUCGCGCAGGCAAGCAUGGAGAUAUUAAAGAAGACAGCUGCCUUCCGGGUUCAGAAACAAGUGGAGGGGCGACCCGCUGAGGAGGUCACGCAGCUCUCUCUGAGCGGCGUACCGGCGCUCCCAGAGCUGUGGUCUCCCUACACUCACCUCACUCACCUUCUGCUGAUCUGCAUGAAACCGAAGCUCGUGAGCCUCGACAUCCUUGGCCUCAACAAGCUUCAGGCACUUCGCCUUCUGGAUGUUAGCGACAACGCCGUUGCUGUUACUUCACCACCGCCGGCUGUGCCGUCGCUAGUUCGUCUGCUCAUGCCCAACAAUCAAGUGUCCUCCUUGGAGGAGGUGAGCCGGUUGGCGCAGAGCUUUCCGAACUUGGAAGUGCUGGACGUGGUGGACAACGAUGUUGACACCCCUGCGCACUUCGCCUCCGUUUUCGGGGCAUUUCCGAAGCUGGUCGCCCUCAACUCGCGUACGCGCGACGGGACCGAGGUCGUGGUCGAAGACUCGGACGAGACGGACAGCGACGAGGAGUGCGAGGAUAGCAGCGAUGAAGAGAGUGACGACGAGGUGGGGCAGACGGGAUCGUCCGGAAGCACCGGCAGUGAGACUGAAGAGGAGUCGGAGGGCGACGCGGAGCCGACGGCGAAGAGAACGCGCACGGAGGACGAAAAGGACGGCUGAAGCGAGCCGAGAACCACCUCGUCAAAGUAAAUUCUUGGAGCGUGACGCGUGUGCCUGUCCGCCAUCUUCGCAGUUUCCCUAGGAGCCGGCACGUGUAUCUGUCUGCGUAUAUGUGUCACAGUGUCUCCACCAUGACAACCUGAGAAGGAAUGAGCCAGCGCGCGAGGGCUCGCGUGCGCUCAAGAGAGCCUUUCACGGUAUUGCUUCUAAAGCCGUAAUGGUGCACCUCGUCGAGGAUUUUGAAUCAACCAUGGCGCACACAUCGUCACAGAGGUCUCCGACUCGACUGCGAUGGAAGACAUAUUUUCGGACACUACGUUGGUAUGCCCGUCUCUGUGUGGUGCCAUCACGUCCUUUCCCGCACCGUCACCUUCGCCACACCUGUCUCUUUCUCUGCCUUCUCGCCCGCUCCUCGUUUCCGCCGCUCUCACUCGAAUGUGCACCUGCGCACGUUGCACCACACAUACAUGGGCACGCUCAAACCCCUUGCGGCCUGUUCCGCUUAUUCGCCCGGUGCUGCUCAG